GCGCCCAUAGCUCAGGUGGAUCAGAGCAUUCGAUUUCUAAUCGAAAUGUCGCAGGUUCGAGCCCUGCUGGGCGCACCA
rnacentral:tRNA from 2 species